rnacentral:rRNA from 1 species
UCUCCUACGGGACGCAGCAGUGGGGAAUAUUGCACAAUGGGGGAAACCCUGAUGCAGCGACGCCGCGUGAGCGAUGAAGUAUUUCGGUAUGUAAAGCUCUAUCAGCAGGGAAGAAAAUGACGGUACCUGACUAAGAAGCCCCGGCUAACUACGUGCCAGCAGCCGCGGUAAUACGUAGGGGGCAAGCGUUAUCCGGAUUUACUGGGUGUAAAGGGAGUGUAGACGGUCCAGCAAGCCAGAUGUGAAAGCCCGGGGCUCAACCCCGGGACUGCGUUUGAAACUGUAAGGCUAGCGUGUCGGAGAGG